UCCAGACUCCUACGGGAGGCAGCAGUGGGGAAUAUUGGGCGAUGGGCGCAAGCCUGACCCAGCAACGCCGCGUGAAGGAAGAAGGCUUUCGGGUUGUAAACUUCUUUUCUCAGGGACGAAGCAAGUGACGGUACCUGAGGAAUAAGCCACGGCUAACUACGUGCCAGCAGCCGCGGUAAUACGUAGGUGGCAAGCGUUAUCCGGAUUUACUGGGUGUAAAGGGAGCGUAGACGGCAGCGCAAGUCUGGAGUGAAAUGCCGGGGCCCAACCCCGGAACUGCGUUGGAAACUGUGCAGCUCGAGUGCAGGAGAGGUAAGCGGAAUUCCUAGUGUAGCGGUGAAAUGCGUAGAUAUUAGGAGGAACACCAGUGGCGAAGGCGGCCUGCUGGACGACAACUGACGGUGAGGCGCGAAAGCGUGGGGAGCAAACAGGAUUAGAUACCCGCGUAUA
rnacentral:rRNA from 1 species